rnacentral:rRNA from 1 species
GUCCACGCCUUAAACGAUGAAUACUAGACGUUGGGAUAAAACUCAGUGUCGCAGCUAACGCAGUAAGUAUUCCACCUGGGGAGUACGAUCGCAAGGUUGAAACUCAAAGGAAUUGACGGGGGCCCGCACAAGCAGUGGAGCAUGUGGUUCAAUUCGAUGCAACGCGAAGAACCUUACCUGGGCUUGACAUGUAAGCUAAGGCCGAUGAAAGUCGGCGUCCCGCAAGGGGAGCUUACACAGAUGCUGCAUGGCUGUCGU